CCGUGCCCAAGAGAUCGGGAUAACACCUGGAAACAGAUGCUAAUACCGGAUAACAACAGAUGAUGCCUAUCAACUGUUUAAAAGAUGGUUCUGCUAUCACUCUUGGAUGGACCUGCGGUGCAUUAGCUAGUUGGUAGGGUAACGGCCUACCAAGGCGAUGAUGCAUAGCCGAGUUGAGAGACUGAUCGGCCACAUUGGGACUGAGACACGGCCCAAACUCCUACGGGAGGCAGCAGUG
rnacentral:rRNA from 1 species